UGGAAGGAAAUCGUCUCCGGUGAGGCGCCUAGACUUCAAAUCUAGCGAGAGGCGUUAUAUACGUGUCUGGUGGGUUCGACUCCUGCUCCUUCCGCC
rnacentral:tRNA from 1 species